rnacentral:rRNA from 1 species
GACGAACGCUGGCGGCGUGCUUAACACAUGCAAGUCGAACGGAAAGGCUCCAGCUUGCUGGAGUGCUCGAGUGGCGAACGGGUGAGUAACACGUGGGCAAUCUGCCCUGCACUCUGGGAUAAGCCUGGGAAACUGGGUCUAAUACCGGAUAGGACCUUUCUCCUCAUGGGGUUUGGUGGAAAGUUUUUCGGUGCAGGAUGAGCCCGCGGCCUAUCAGCUUGUUGGUGGGGUAAUGGCAUACCAAGGCGACGACGGGUAGCCGGCCUGGGAGGGUGAUCGGCCACAUUGGGACUGAGAUACGGCCCAGACUCCUACGGUAGACAGCAGUGGGGAAUAUUGCACAAUGGGCGAAAGCCUGAUGCAGCGACGCCGCGUGAGGGAUGACGGCCUUCGGGUUGUAAACCUCUUUCAGUAGAGACGAAGCGCAAGUGACGGUACCUGCAGAAGAAGCACCGGCUAACUACGUG